rnacentral:lncRNA from 1 species
GGAAGAAAACUUGAUCUGAAGUCUAAGUUGUUAACGGAUAUGAUAUGGGAAGGUUGAGCUGCUGUUUAUCUGUUCCUAGAGAUGCUAGAAUUGUGGAGAAUUUUAUCUUUGAAAAAUCUUUAAAAUAAUACAUGAUGAGUUCCUGUAUGAUGAGAGUUUAAAUUCCUACCACAGCCAUAUAUACAUGCUUGCUAGACUUUGAGCCACACAUAUACUUUUUACUGCUUAUGAGCAUUGAGUGUGGUCAAGCUGUGUAGACCCUUAGGAGCUUGUCAUGUGGUUAAAUCAAGAUUCACUUACACGUUCACUCACACAUGCUGCUUCUACUCUGGAAGUACGCAUCCACAUAUAUCCACCCAUUUCUAUCUCCAGAACCACCCAAAAAUAUUCUACUCCUAUCCAGGAGAGAAUAGUCAAAUAUAUUUCUAUUUUUCCCUGUGAAAUAAAUGCUCAAGUUAUCUUGGUUACUACCACUUGCUAUAUUAUCUCAUGAGAUGAGUGCUCUAAAAAAAGAAAAGAGAUACGAGGAAAUAAAAAGGGGCAAGUGCCCAGAACCUCGAAAGAAAAGAAAAAGUGAGACGAGAGGUAAAAAUGGACAAGUGUCCGACAGUAGAAUUAGGGGUACAAGAUACCCACCUGAGAGGAAAGAAAAAGAAAAGAUAGAGCAUCUCAUUCUCCUUAAAAAGUUUCAAAGAGCAAGGAAGGUAUGUAUCCUCUCAAAAGAGCAAAAGUAGAAUUAGACUUUCUCCAUUGUUAUCACCAUCAUCACCAUAUACCAUUCAUUCGCCACACAUGCACAUCUUGAUUCGACUUAUUGACUUGUUUCUUUGGAUCCAUGGUUUGACUAUGCAAUAAAUGUCUUGUAAGUAUGUAUACUUUAUCUCCCACCUAUGAGUUCCAGAUAUCAAAGCCUUAUUAGAAUAGGGUGAGAGAGAAGGCAUAUAACAUCACUGCCUUGGUAAGGAUCCAGAAAUACCACAAA